UGAAUCUUUAUUUUUGUAUUCUUUGGAUAAAUACCUAGUAGUGCAAUCGCUGGAUCGUUGGGUAGUUUAUUUGUAACUUUUUGAGGAACCUCCAUACUCCAUAGAGUGGCUGCACCAGUUUGCUUUUCCACCAACAGAAAUCCGUUUUCAAUCUGAAUAAAGAUAACAUUCUUGAAUUAAAAACAUUUUUUUAAUGUUUAUUUUUGAGAGAGAGACAGGUGUAAGCAGGGGAGGGGGAGAGAGAGGGGGAGGCAUGGAAUCUGAAGGAGGCUCCAGGCUCUGUGCUGUGAUGCAGGGCUCGAACUCAUGAACUGUGAGAUCAUGACCUGAGCUGAAGUCAGACGCUUAACCGACUGAGCUACCCAGGCGCCCCCAAAGAUCAGCAUUCUAAACAUGGCCCCCACCGUCUGUAGAGACCCUUGUUAACCUCUCCAGCUUCUUCCUACCCUCUCAGGCCACUGUGCUCCUGAAGCUCUGGGCUUCUCCUGGGUUUUCAGAGGUGCUCACCUGUCUUAGCCCCUCUGCCUCAAAACCCUUCCUUGUUUUCUUUGCCUAUUGUUUUAAAAGGUAGGUCUUGUUAUUCAGGUACAGUGACACCAGGAGAUCAGGUGAUUGCCUUUGAAAAGAGUUUGUUAUUCACAGAUGCCUCCAGGAGCAGGCCCCAAGUGGCAGGCCUGGCCACAGUGGGGAGGCCCAUGGUUGGUCUGGAGGCUGAAGAGGUGGGAGGAAAAUGUGGGCACAGCUUUGUUCGUGUUUCCUGUGGAACAGAACAGGCAGAGAAGGGAAGGCAGGUUUAGAAUUGGCUAAUUUGAAUUAUUUCCAGUGGGGGAGCGGAGGGGCCGUCCUGAGUUGUCUCGUACCUGCAGUGGCUGCGAGUGAGCCACAGGGUAGGUGGGAGGCCACAGUGGGCUCUAGGUUGCUCGGUUUAUGUAGGAAAGAUAAGCUGUGUGGGGAAAGGUGUUUGCUGUCACUAGGAAGUGGCUAAUCCUGGGAAGGGACAGUCCCUCUCCAGGCUCUGAGGUUCCAAAUGCCACAGCAUGGAGAAAACAGCGGGUGGGGGGAGAAUCUGGAAAAUAAGAAAGUAUGAUUAAUACAGCCUUCUAUGUGCUCCUUAUCAGUGAGCUUUCAGCUCAGCCGUCCCCGCCUCUGGGAGCUUCCAGUGACUUCCCAGACUACGUCAUUUUGCUCCUUCACAAUUUCUAGCUUACAUGAUUAUUUGAUGAAAGCCUGUCCUCCUGACCGAAUCAGACAUGAGGGCAGGUAAUUUGUCUCUCCCGUUCACCUUUGUGUCCACAGCUACAAAACAGUGCUUGGCACACAGUAGUCGUUCCAGAAAUACCUGUCGAAUAGAUAAACGAGGGUCUCCCGGCCUCAGUCACUGCCCCACCAAAAUGAAUUUCCCUUUUAUCCACAAAUUAAAUCCUAGAGGCCAGCAACUUAGAAACUAUUUUUCCUAGGAAAUCUUGGCAGUUAGGGUGCUAGGUCAAAUCUUAAAUGCUGGGCACCUGGGUGGCUCAGUUGGUUGAGUCCGACUUCGGCUCAGGUCAUGAUCUCACUGCUGGCGAGAUUCUGUCUCUCUCUCUCUCUCUCUCUGCCCCUCAUCCCCACACGCUCUGUCUCUCUCAAAAAAUAAACAUUAAAAAAAAUGUUUUUAAUCUUAAAGCUUAUGCAGUGAAUAACAUCCCUGAUGUGUUUGACUCACAAACCAUCAUAACAAUGUGGGAAAGGUGUUUUCUGAGUUGUGGACGUGAGAACCCAACACUUUCUUAGAGCAGUCAGCGUCUGUAGCUGCCAUUCUCAGGUCAGCAAGGUUUUGGAAUGAGGCUUCCUCCGGUGUGAAGGGAGAUGAUAACCAAGUAGUUCAGUGUGCUACCAGUUUACUUUUCCAUAGAGGUGUCAAUAAUCCCAUAGUGUAUACACCAAAAUAAAUAAUGAACUUAACAUUCUCCUUAGGUGUUUUGAAACAGGCAGAGAUCAUCUUAGGACUCAGAAAUUUCUCUCUAGCCCUUGCAGGGGUCAGUUUCUUUUUAUAAAUUGAGGACUGCCUGAAUUCCCAACCCCUUACUUGACUCUGAGGUGUGUCCAGAAUCACUGUGGCUUCAUAGAUACAAGCUAGAAGGCUGUGAACAGGGACAGCAUGUGGUGGUGGUCAAAAGAAUUCUCCAGGAGAUGAGGCUUCCAGCCCCAGCAAUGCUACUUACUCCCUGAACAAAAGUCAGCUACUUAGCAUGAGUCUGUUCUUCAUUUCCACUUAUCCCACCAGACUGCUCUGAUAAGAGAUUUAAAACGUGGAGGCACGUAAAAAAUACUCAGAUCUUAUUUAAUAACUUGUAACAAUAAAGAGAUGGCUGACAUUAUUUAUCUAUAAGCCGCUGUUCUAAAACUUUACAUGAAUUUAUUGAAUCUAUUGAACCCCAAGAAGGAUGUCCAUGGGGCAUGUGGGUAGCUUAGUCAGUUAAGCACCUGACUCUUGAUUUUGGGUCAGGUCAUGAUCUCACGUCUGUGACUUCAAGCCCUGUGUCAGGCUCUGUGCUGACAGAGUGGAGCCUACUUGAGAUUCUCUCCCUCUCUCUGCCCUCCCCUGCUUGUUCUCCGUCUGUCUCAAAAAUAAAUAAAUAAAUAAACCCAUCCCUGACAUUAUCCAUAUUUUAAACAUGAGGAAACUGAAGUAGGGGCUAGUAAUUUAAUCAAGGUCAACAGCAAGUAAACUAGAGCCGGGGCUUGAACCUAGGUAGUCUGGGGCUAGGGAGCAAGCACUUCUCUUCUACCACGCCUCCCUGCAAGGAAAUGCAUCUUUGCAAAGUAAGAUUUGGUAAUUUUGUUGUUCCUUCCCCAGAACCAUCAGAGGCAACUCAGCAUUUUUUUUUUUUUACAAGUUUCCUAGACUAUAAUGGCAUAUGGCAGAGCCUAAAGGGAGAGAAGUGGUCUGCAUGGCCUGAUGUGAGGGUGACGUCAGAGAGGUCCCAUGCAUUCCGCUGGCACCUGGUGCUGAAGCAAGAGAGACGUUCGUUUUCCCCAGCCUUCUUCAGAGUUCUCUUCCGAGAUGUCUGCUCUUCACCUUUCACCCUUUGGAGACGGAUUUCACUUUCUCUUGAAUCUCAUCUUUCUGUUAGCCAUAUCUUCCUAUCAGACUCUGAAACAAAAAACUCCACCACUCACCACCUCUUUGAUACUCCCAGAAGACUUUGUGGUUUUAUCUACCUUAAUCCUAAAUUUCCCUGGGAAAGCAAUGAGAACUGGCUUCGACCUCUGCUUUAGGAUGUGUUCCUUCAGGUGACCCUUCUUCCCCACAAUCUCAGGCUGAAAAGUUGUAGGUCAGGUUUGUUCGUCCUGGUAAAGAUUCCUGUUGCCCAUAGUAGCAGGCACGCGGUGGUCUCAGCCUCUUGGUCCUACCCUGUUGCUGCUGCUGCGCAGACGCACUGGGAGGCACGGGUCUGUUGUCAGACAAGGGCGGCAAAGCUGAUCUCCCAGGAGCUUCGGUAGACCAGAGCUUGCUUUCGUGUGCAGCCAGGGGACACGCAGCCUUCACCAACAGUAAUGACAGCUGCAUUUCUGAUUUGUGGACUGGGAGACUGAAGAAGAGUCCUUCACUUAAUCCUGCCCAAAGGGGCCACGAUCCUUUCCCCAGCACCGGCCCCGCCGCCCUUCCUCGACCCCCUCCACACUGGCCGAGAAGCGUAAGGGAUGAAAAGCAGAAAAUAAACACUUGUCCCGUCACU